ACCGGCGGCCGAGUGGUGAUCGUGAUUAGUUGGUACGUAAGGGUCCGUAGCCGUUGGUCAGUCCUCCGGGAAAUCUGAUAGCUCAACUAUUAGGCUUUCGGGGGAUACUGCCAGACUUGGAACCGGGAGAGGUAAGAGGUACUACAGGGGUAGGAGUGAAAUCUUGUAAUCCCUGUGGGACCACCUAGUGGCGAAGGCGUCUUACCAGAACGGGUUCGACGGUGAGGGACGAAAGCUGGGGGGCACGAACCGGAUUAGAUACCCGGGUAGUCCCAGCCGUAAACGAUGCUCGCUAGGUGUCAGGCAUGGCGCGACCGUGUCUGGUGCCGCAGGGAAGCCGUGAAGCGAGCCACCUGGGAAGUACGGCCGCAAGGCUGAAACUUAAAGGAAUUGGCGGGGGAGCACAACAACGGGUGGAGCCCUGCGGUUUAAUUGGACUCAACGCCGGACAACUCACCGGGGGCGACAGCAAUAUGUAAGGCCAAGCUGAAGACUUUGCCUGAAUCGCUGAGAGGAGGUGCAUGG
rnacentral:rRNA from 1 species